UAGGGAAUCUUCCACAAUGGACGCAAGUCUGAUGGAGCAACGCCGCGUGAGUGAAGAAGGUUUUCGGACCGUAAAGCUCUGUUGUUGGUGAAGAAGGAUAGAGGUAGUAACUGGCCUUUAUUUGACGGUAAUCAACCAGAAAGUCACGGCUAACUACGUGCCAGCAGCCGCGGUAAUACGUAGGUGGCAAGCGUUGUCCGGAUUUAUUGGGCGUAAAGCGAGCGCAGGCGGAAGAAUAAGUCUGAUGUGAAAGCCCUCGGCUUAACCGAGGAAUUGCAUCGGAAACUGUUUUCUUGAGUGCAGAAGAGGAGAGUAGAACUCCAUGUGUAGCGGUGGAAUGCGUAGAUAUAUGGAAGAAUACCAGUGGCGAAGGCGGCUCUCUGGUCUGCAACUGACGCUGAGGCUCGAAAGCAUAGGUAGCGAACAGGAUUAGAUACCCUGGUAGUCCAUGCCGUAAACGAUGAGUGCUAAGUGUUGGGAGGCUUCCGCCUCUCAGUGCUGCAGCUAACGCAUUAAGCACUCCGCCUGGGGGAGUACGACCGCAAGGUUGAA
rnacentral:rRNA from 1 species